AAUAAUUUAUUUGAUGGUUUCUUACUACAUGGAUAACUGUAGUAAUUCUAGAGCUAAUACAUGCGUAAAAUCCCGACUCUUGCGGGGAGGGAUGUAUUUAUUAGAUAAAAAACCAAUGCGGGCUCUGCCCGGUUUUGUGGUGAAUCAUAGUAACUUUUCGAAUCGCAUGGCUUCACGCCGGCGAUAGUUCAUUCAAAUUUCUGCCCUAUCAGCUUUCGACGGUAGUGUAGUGGACUACCGUGGCGUUAACGGGUAACGGAGAAUUAGGGUUCGAUUCCGGAGAGGGAGCCUGAGAAACGGCUACCACA
rnacentral:rRNA from 1 species